rnacentral:rRNA from 1 species
GAUGAACGCUGGCGGCGUGCCUAAUACAUGCCAGUCGAGCGAACGGACGAGAAGCUUGCUUCUCUGAUGUUAGCGGCGGACGGGUGAGUAACACGUGGAUAACCUACCUAUAAAACUGGGAUAACUUCGGGAAACCGUAGCUAAUACCGGAUAAUAUUUUGAACCGCAUGGUUCAAAAGUGAAAGACGGUCUUGCUGUCACUUAUAGAUGGAUCCGCGCUGCAUUAGCUAGUUGGUAAGGUAACGGCUUACCAAGGCAACGAUGCAUAGCCGACCUGAGAGGGUGAUCGGCCACACUGGAACUGAGACACGGACCAGACUCCUACGGGAGGCAGCAGUAGGGAAUCUUCCGCAAUGGGCGAAAGCCUGACGGAGCAACGCCGCGUGAGUGAUGAAGGUCUUCGGAUCGUAAAACUCUGUUAUUAGGGAAGAACAAAUGUGUAAGUAACUAUGCACGUCUUGACGGUACCUAAUCAGAAAGCCACGGCUAACUACGUG